UACGGGGGGGGCAAGCGUUGUUCGGAAUUACUGGGCGUAAAGGGCUCGUAGGUGGCCAACUAAGUCAGACGUGAAAUCCCCAGGCUCAACUUGGGAACUGCGUCUGAUACUGGAUGGCUUGAAUUCGGGAGAGGGAUGCAGAAUUCCAGGUGUAGCGGUGAAAUGCGUAGAUAUCAGGAGGAACACCCGUGGCGAAGGCGGCUCUCUGGCCUGUAACUGACGCUGAGGCGCGAAAGCGUGGGGAGCAAACAGG
rnacentral:rRNA from 1 species